rnacentral:rRNA from 1 species
CCUACGGAGGCAGCAGUGGGGAAUAUUGGACAAUGGGCGAAAGCCUGAUCCAGCCAUGCCGCGUGUGUGAAGAAGGCCUUCGGGUUGUAAAGCACUUUCAGUGGGGAAGAAAGCCUUGGGGCUAAUACCCUCGAGGAAGGACAUCACCCACAGAAGAAGCACCGGCUAACUCCGUGCCAGCAGCCGCGGUAAUACGGAGGGUGCGAGCGUUAAUCGGAAUUACUGGGCGUAAAGCGCGCGUAGGCGGUCUGAUAAGCCGGUUGUGAAAGCCCCGGGCUCAACCCUGGGAACGGCAUCCGGAACUGUCAGGCUAGAGUGCAGGAGAGGAAGGUAGAAUUCCCGGUGUAGCGGUGAAAUGCGUAGAGAUCGGGAGGAAUACCAGUGGCGAAGGCGGCCUUCUGGACUGACACUGACGCUGAGGUGCGAAAGCGUGGGUAGCAAACAGGAUUAGAUACCCUUGUAGUC